CAAAAACAUUUUUUAAUGUAAUCAUAUUAAAUAAAAUCUGCUCAAUGUAAUAAUUAAUAGCCGCAGAAAAUUUACUGUGCUAAGGUAGCAUAAUCAUUUGUCUUUUAAUUAAAGACUAGAAUGAAAGAUUUAACAUUUAAUUAAAUUUUUUAAUUAUUUUAUCUAAAUUUUAUUAAAAAUAAAAAUAUUUUUAUAUAUUUAAAAGACGACAAGACCCUAUUGAACUUAACUGUAGUUAAGCUGGGGCAGCUCAUUAAUAAUUAUCUUAAUUAAAUAAACUUUUUUAAAUAUCCUAGAUUGACUCCAUCAAGUUACCAAAGGGAUAACAGCAUAAUUCUAUUUUAAAGCUCUUAUUAAAAAUAAAAUUUAUGACCUCGAUGUUGAAUUAAUUUUUCUUAUCUGUGCAAGAACGAAUACAGUAAGUCUGU
rnacentral:rRNA from 1 species